rnacentral:tRNA from 1 species
GGAUGGGUGGCCGAGUGGUUGAAGGCACCGGUCUUGAAAACCGGCAGGGGCGAAAGUCCUUCGUGGGUUCGAAUCCCACCCCAUCCG